CGGAGCUGAUGCAGCACGCCGCGUGAGUGAUGAAGGCCUUCGGGUUGUAAAGCUCUUUUGUCAGGGAAGAAACUGAUGGGGCCAAUAUCCCCGGCUAAUGACGGUACCUGAACAAUAAGCACCGGCUAACUACGUGCCAGCAGCCGCGGUAAUACGUAGGGUGCAAGCGUUAAUCGGAAUUACUGGGCGUAAAGCGUGCGCAGGCGGUUUUGUAAGUCUGACGUGAAAUCCCCGGGCUCAACCUGGGAAUUGCAUUGGAGACUGGUAGGCUUGAGUGUGGAAGAGGGGGGUGGAAUUCCACGUGUAGCAGUGAAAUGCGUAAAGAUGUGGAGGAACACCGAUGGUGAAGGCAGCCCCCUGGGUCAUGACUGACGCUCAUGCUCGAAAGCGUGGGGAGCAAACAGGAUUAGAUACCCUGGUAGUCCACGCCCUAAACGAUGUCUACUAGUUGUCGGGUCUUAAUUGACUUGUUAACCCAGCUAACGCGU
rnacentral:rRNA from 1 species